rnacentral:rRNA from 1 species
UACGAAGGGGGCUAGCGUUGCUCGGAAUCACUGGGCGUAAAGCGCACGUAGGCGGAUCGCUAAGUCAGGGGUGAAAUCCUGGGAGCUCAACUCCAGAACUGCCCUUGAUACUGGCGAUCUCGAGUCCGGGAGAGGUGAGUGGAACUGCGAGUGUAGAGGUGAAAUUCGUAGAUAUUCGCAAGAACACCAGUGGCGAAGGCAGCUCUCUGGGACGGUACUGACGCUGAGACGCGAAAGCGUGGGGAGCGAACAGG